rnacentral:rRNA from 1 species
CCUACGGGUGGCUGCAGUGAGGAAUAUUGGUCAAUGGGCGGGAGCCUGAACCAGUCAAGUCGCGUGAGGGAAGACGGUCCUAUGGAUUGUAAACCUCUUUAGGCGGGGAGCAAUGCCGGGCACGCGUGCCCGGAGGGAGAGUACCCGCAGAAUAAGCAUCGGCUAACUCCGUGCCAGCAGCCGCGGUAAUACGGAGGAUGCGAGCGUUAUGCGGAUUUAUUGGGUUUAAAGGGUGCGUAGGCGGAUUUUUAAGUCAGCGGUAAAAUGUCCGGGCUGAACCCGGGCCGGCCGUUGAAACUGGGGAUCUGGAGGGGGCGAGAGGUAUGCGGAGUGGGUGGUGUAGCGGUGAAAGGCAGAGA